rnacentral:rRNA from 1 species
AGUGAACGCUGGCGGUAGGCCUAACACAUGCAAGUCGAACGGCAGCACAGGAGAGCUUGCUCUCUGGGUGGCGAGUGGCGGACGGGUGAGGAAUACAUCGGAAUCUACCUUUUCGUGGGGGAUAACGUAGGGAAACUUACGCUAAUACCGCAUACGACCUACGGGUGAAAGUGGGGGACCGCAAGGCCUCACGCGAUCAGAGGAGCCGAUGUCCGAUUAGCUAGUUGGCGGGGUAAUGGCCCACCAAGGCGACGAUCGGUAGCUGGUCUGAGAGGAUGAUCAGCCACACUGGAACUGAGACACGGUCCAGACUCCUACGGGAGGCAGCAGUGGGGAAUAUUGGACAAUGGGCGCAAGCCUGAUCCAGCCAUACCGCGUGGGUGAAGAAGGCCUUCGGGUUGUAAAGCCCUUUUGUUGGGAAAGAAAUCCUGUCGAUUAAUACUCGGUGGGGAUGACGGUACCCAGAGAAUAAGCACCGGCUAACUUCGUGCCAGCCGCCGCGGUAAAAC